GACGAACGCUGGCGGCGUGCUUAACACAUGCAAGUCGAACGGAAAGGCCCUGCUUUUGUGGGGUGCUCGAGUGGCGAACGGGUGAGUAACACGUGAGUAACCUGCCCUUGACUUUGGGAUAACUUCAGGAAACUGGGGCUAAUAUCGGAUAGGAGCUCCUGCUGCAGGGUGGGGGUUGGAAAGUUUCGGCGGUUGGGGAUGGACUCGCGGCUUAUCAGCUUGUUGGUGGGGUAGUGGCUUACCAAGCCUUUGACGGGUAGCCGGCCUGAGAGGGUGACCGGCCACAUUGGGACUGAGAUACGGCGCAGACUCGUACGGGAGGCAGCAGUGGGGAAUAUUGCACAAUGGGCGGAAGCCUGAUGCAGCAACGCCGCGUGCGGGAUGACGGCCUUCGGGUUGUGAACCGCUUUCGCCUGUGACGAAGCGUGAGUGACGGUAAUGGGUAAAGAAGCACCGGCUAACUACGUG
rnacentral:rRNA from 1 species